GCUGGAAUCGCUAGUAAUCGCGGAUCAGAAUGCCGCGGUGAAUACGUUCCCGGGUCUUGUACACACCGCCCGUCACACCAUGGGAGUCGGAAAUGCCCGAAGUCUGUGACCCAACCUGAAGGGGGGAGCAGCCGAAGGCAGGUCGGAUGACUGGGGUGAAGUCGUAACAAGGUACC
rnacentral:rRNA from 1 species